CUCAUGCUUCCAACCCCACACAAUCAACUCUAAGUUCACACCCUAAGUUCAUACUUCUGAUCUUAAUCCCUCUACUUCAUACCUUACUGAUUCCUCCAAUCCAAACACCUCUGUAUCCUUUCACACUUCUUCCUUGGCUCCUCCUUCUCAUCCUACACAAUCCACUUUAAGUUCAUAUUCCAACCUAAAUUCACACCCUACCUCUGAAUUUUCUGGCACCAUGGGACAACAACAAACCCUUCCUUUUAAUGUGCCCAACUCUUCUAUUUCUCAGACUUACCCAAUUGAAAAUGGAGCAAGAAGCCUAGAAACAGGAGUACCAAAUAAUUCAGAUAGCUUAUUUCCUUUAAGGGAAGUACCCACUUUUAAUAAAAAUGGAAACUUGGUAUCUGUAAGACAUCAUACACCUUUUACCCCUGAGGAUUUAAAAAAAUUGAAGGAAGAUAUGCCAUCAUUUGAGGAUGAACCAAUAUUAAUUAUAAAAAAAUUAGAGAACAUAUUCAGAACUUUUGACCCCACUUGGUUGGAUGUUGAGAAUAUAUUAGAAGCAUUAUUAACAAAGAGAGAGAAAAAUAAUAUCGUCUCUCUGGCUAAUCAAAAACGAGGUAGAAGAGGACAUUAUUGGCCAACUGAAGAUCCACAUUGGAACCCCGAUGUUGAACUAGAUUACACAAAACUAAACCAGGCCAGAGAAGCAUUAUUGACAGCCAUGAGAGCUUUCUCUGAUAGACCUGAAAAAUGGUCAAAAUUUGAAAAAACCCGACAAUAUAUUGAUGAAACACCCUCCCAGUUUAUGGACAGACUUAUUGACGUAGGGAAUACAUAUAUGGACCUUGAUUUAUCUAGAGAAAGAGACAUUAGACAAAUACGUAGGCAAUUUGCUAAGAAUUGUUGUUCAGUGGUAAAAGACUACUUUAGAACUAGCUGUCCUAAUUGGGACUCUAUGGACCUCGAUGAACUAAGGAGAGUAGCAACCUAUGUUUAUAAAGGUCAUGUAAAAAGACUUGAGGAAGAAGAAACAUCAGUGGAAGAUUUAAAGAAAGAAAUUGAAAUGUUAAGGAGACAAUUGAAAAAUAAGGGAGAGACUAUAGCCCCUUUGCAGGAAUUCACAAAUAAAUCAGUAACUUGCCACUUCUGUGAGAAGAAGGGCCACAAAAUGAUGGAAUGUAGAACCUUUCUUAAGAUGAUUGGAAGAAAUACACAGUUUAAUAAUAGCUUUAGAAAUAACAACUAUAGAAAUGAUGAUAAUGGUCAUAGAAACCAGAACAACUAUAAUGAUGAUAAUGGUCAUAGAAACCAGAAUUCUAGAAAUUUUAGAAAUUAUAAUGAUGAUUAUGGAAAUAACUAUAAUGAACAUAGAAAUAAGAACUUUAGAAACCAGAAUUAUAGAAAUAGGAACUGGGGAAAUAAUGACAAUGCUCCAAAUGAAGAAAAUUAUAUUGAUAAUGCCCAACAACAAAAUAUGAGAAAUGGAGCUCGUCCAAAACAUAGUCAAGGUGCCCUUCAGGGGGGUGCCCAAGGAAUAUCCCAAAUACAAUGAUGGAGUCUGGGGGGGGGGGCUGGGGCACAGGAAUCAGAGGAUACAACCUUUGAUUUUCCAGACCCUGAUGUCCUACUACCCUUUGUCCCUAUCCACUGCCCUCCCCAUACUAAUGAACCCCAUGUUACCUUAAAGGUGGGUAACACUUAUUAUGAUUGUCUAUUAGACACUGGAGCUACCAGGUCUGUAUUGAAGAAUGUACCAGAUUUAAAUUGUUAUUCUGUUGAUUCACAAAGUGUAAUGGGGGUAUCAG
rnacentral:lncRNA from 1 species